UACAAUGGCGUAAACAAAGGGAAGCGAGACGGUGACGUUAAGCAAAUCCCAGAAAUAACGUCCCAGUUCGGAUUGUAGUCUGCAACCCGACUACAUGAAGCUGGAAUCGCUAGUAAUCGCGAAUCAGAAUGUCGCGGUGAAUACGUUCCCGGGUCUUGUACACACCGCCCGUCACACCAUGAGAGUCGGGAACACCCGAAGUCCGUAGCCUAACCGCAAGGGGGGCGCGGCCGAAGGUGGGUUCGAUAAUUGGGGUGAAGUCGUAACAAGGUAUC
rnacentral:rRNA from 1 species